UCUCAGUCCCUGAGACCCUAACUUGUGAUGUUUACCGUUUAAAUCCACGGGUUAGGCUCUUGGGAGCUGCG
rnacentral:pre_miRNA from 10 species